rfam:Tetrapisispora blattae CBS 6284 chromosome 8, complete genome
GCUCGUGUAGCUCAGUGGUUAGAGCUUCGUGCUUAUAGGGGUUUUCAGAUUACCUGAAACAACUGUACAAAUUUGAGGAGUCAUAUCUUCAGGUUAAGCAACGCGACCGUCGAGGGUUCAAACCCCUCCUCGAGCA